rnacentral:misc_RNA from 1 species
AACUUUUGGCAAUGGAUCUCUUGGCUCUCGCAUCGAUGAUGAACGCAGCGAAAUGCGAUACGUAAUGUGAAUUGCAGAAUUCAGUGAAUCAUCGAAUCUUUGAACGCACCUUGCGCUCCCUGGUAUUCCGGGGAGCACGCCUGUUCGAGUGCCGCGAAAUUUCUCAAGCUUGGAUGGCUUUCUUGUCUGUUCUUAGCCUUGGUUGUUGGGCUUUGCCGUGUCCUUUGUUGGGACGGCUGGCCUUAAAAGCAUUAGCUGAUCCUUGUGUGGCACUGGUUCUACUCAGCGUGAUAACAGUCUUAUCGCUGAGGACAUCUUUUGGGAUGGCCAGUUCUCAUUUGGGUUGCUUCCAAACUUGGUUUUGCAGAUUCUUCAAUCUGUGUUCCACUUUUCAGCUUUGACCUCGAAUCAGGUGGGACUACCCGCUGAACUUAAGCAUAUCAAUAAGCGGAGGCU